rnacentral:rRNA from 1 species
AAGACCUUGCACUUUUGGAGCGGCCGAUGUCUGAUUAGCUAGUUGGUGGGGUAAUGGCCUACCAAAGCUUCGAUCAGUAGCUGGUCUGAGAGGACGGCCAGCCACACUGGGACUGAGACACGGCCCAGACUCCUACGGGAGGCAGCAGUGGGGAAUUUUGGACAAUGGGCACAAGCCUGAUCCAGCCAUGCCGCGUGAGUGAAGAAGGCCUUCGGGUUGUAAAGCUCUUUCAGCCGGGAAGAAAAGGUUGCGACUAAUAAUCGCAAUUCAUGACGGUACCGAAAGAAGAAGCACCGGCUAACUACGUGCCAGCAGCCGCGGUAAUACGUAGGGUGCGAGCGUUAAUCGGAAUUACUGGGCGUAAAGGGUGCGCAGGCGGUUUUGUAAGUCAGAUGUGAAAUCCCCGGGCUUAACCUGGGAACU